UUUGGCGGACGGGUGAGUAAUGCAUCGGAAUCUACUCUGUCGUGGGGGAUAACGUAGGGAAACUUACGCUAAUACCGCAUACGACCUACGGGUGAAAGCAGGGGAUCUUCGGACCUUGCGCGAUUGAAUGAGCCGAUGCCCGAUUAGCUAGUUGGCGGGGUAAGAGCCCACCAAGGCGACGAUCGGUAGCUGGUCUGAGAGGAUGAUCAGCCACACUGGAACUGAGACACGGUCCAGACUCCUACGGGAGGCAGCAGUGGGGAAUAUUGGACAAUGGGGGCAACCCUGAUCCAGCAAUGCCGCGUAUGUGAAGAAGGUCUUCGGAUCGUAAAGCACUUUCGGCGGGGACGAUGAUGACGGUACCCGCAGAAGAAGCCCCGGCUAACUUCGUGCCAGCAGCCGCGGUAAUAAU
rnacentral:rRNA from 1 species